GCUGAGUGCACUUUAUGGGGGUGGAGAUAGUGAGUGUCUUUUUGUCUGUACUUCCCUCUCAUGUAUUGGAGAAGUGAGUUAGAGCUACGUGAAGAGAAAAUCCAAGUGCCUGUCAGACACAGAAGAGCCCUGACAGUGUGAAGUGCAGGCAGGGCGUUGUCAGCAGGGGAUGAGGGUCAGGAUGGCAGUGAAGGGACAUCUCUGCACUCAAGUUAUUUGGCUGCUUCUCCUUUCUGUUCAGUUCACUAUGGGGUAUGGAACUGCAUGCCUGUGAAUUUGCUACCACUUAAAACACCACUGUUCUGGAGCUGUAGUAUAACCAAUUGAAGCUGAAGAUGAGAAUCAGAUUUUGGAGCCUCCAGAGCCAAAUUAUAGUCUCCCAGUCAGUGUUUACAGAUCACAGAUGCUUCUGCAAGGUCUGUGUGGCUGGGAAGGCACAAGCAGUAACUGGGGACUCCAAGAGCAAUGACAUUUUCUGGAGCAAUUAAUAAAAAACUUGAGAGAGAAUUUGCUGAAAUCUGAUCUAAUGAUCAAACUGGACUUUUUACUAGAGGGAAAUAGCAGGGCAUUCCACUGGCUAACAGGAUUGACAUCAAUUGGGCAAUGAGCCAUCUGAACUCAUAGGGCCAUAUACUCUCUCUAAGUGGGUGUGACUCCUUUUAACUUCAGUAAGCAUCCUGUAGGGAGAGAAGGCUGCUAUGGACUCUGCUCAUUAACAAUUUGUUCAGUAACCUUAAUAGGUCUUGGUUAAAAAGUUGCCUUUCUUUUAGUUUGAUUUUGUGUCAGAAGAGCAGCCUCAAAUUUAUUCUGUAGGUUGUGUCCUUUAAAUAACGGAUACAACUCUGCAUGAGACAAUAAGCUAGAAUCUGGCUAUCACUUUCUAAACAUAAGCCUAUGUGUGAUAACUUGGAGCAAAUAUGAUUUCCAAUAAAAUAUUAUCAGUAACAUUACUAUUGGGAGCACCUCCGGCUCCUCUUAACACUUCUUAAAAACGAAGUCCAUGGACUUCAGUGUGCUGAAAACUUUAAGUUCUCUUAAACUGGGGGUGAUUGAGGAAUCAACCUGUUUCUUUUUAUUCCCAAAACAGCUAUCAGAAAUUAAGAAAAUUAGCUCUGAUUAAAUUAUCUCUGAAUUUUAAAGAUUAAAUAUAAUUCAAAUGUUCAGCACUUUUCAAUACUUUCAGUGAAACAAUGUUAUCAAAAGCUUUGUGUCCUAUAAGAUACUUCUACUUGCCCAGGCUGUCUUCUAGUUUCAUGAGGAUUUUGUCUCUUGUCUUGGGAUCAUAACUAAAUAAUCCUCUUUUGCCACUUAUAGAUUGUUGAAUCUUACCAUUGUACACAGUGCUGA